rnacentral:rRNA from 1 species
GUGUCAGCCGCCGCGGUAAGACGGAGGGCGCAAGCGUUGUUCGGAAUUACUGGGCGUAAAGCGCGGGCAGGCGGUCCGUUAAGUCGUUUGUGAAAACCCGGGGCUCAACCCCGUGGAAUGCAGACGAUACUGGCGGACUAGAGACCGGUAGAGGCUAGCGGAAUUCCUGGUGUAGCGGUGGAAUGCGUAGAUAUCAGGAAGAACACCUGUGGCGAAGGCGGCUAGCUGGGCCGGGUCUGACGCUCAUCCGCGAAAGCGUGGGGAGCAAACAGGAUUAGAUACCCUGGUAGUCCACGCCGUAAACGAUGGGCACUAGGUGCCGGGUCUAUAGACGGAUUCGGUGCCGUAGCUAACGCAUUAAGUGCCCCGCCUGGGGAGUACGGUCGCAAGGCUGAAACUCAAAUGAAUUGACGGGG